ACUGUCUAGAACAAAAUGAGGUACAUUUUUGGGGGGAACAUUACUGUACAGUCUUCUGACAGUUUAAUUUGGGUUUUUUUUUUUGGUUAAUGAUAUAUUUACCAAUUUGAUUUACCAAAAAAAAAACCCAGCAUAUUUCAUAAGGCACUUGGGUAAGAUUAGAACGAAAAAGAAGUCUCAACAUAUUCAAUAGUACUGAGAUUUGUGCCAAUUUUUUUUAACUAAUGUAAGAUUGAACUUUAUUCUUUGACCAUUUAUCAUUUAUUAUAUAAAAAGUGUGUUUCUUUUCAAGAAAACACACAAAGGUGCAAUAAUGUUAAAGAUAGGUUAGUUGUUUCAAUUUGUUGAUUUGUACUAGAUUUCAUGUUAAUACAUGUAAUAGAUUCUUAAUAUAUCUCUUGUUCUGUUCCAUGGUUUGGGGGUAGAACAAAAGUUCAAAACUCUUAUGUUAUUGAAGGACAGAGAAUGGUAUACUACUGUGAUUGUAAUAUCUUCUACGGAAAAAAGAAAACAAGAAAAACAAUAACCUGCAAUCAUAUUGUGCAAAAAAAAUUCUAUAAAUAAUGGAAUUGUACACAUAAGAAUCCUAUAGAUUAUGUAUUUAUUUUUUGGGAAAUCUAAAUUUAUAUCUCAAGGAAUUAAUGUAUCAAUACACUUGUAAUUGAAUUUGUGUCAUUUUAAUAUGAAUUACCUGGUAUUUGUUACAUAAAUGAAUUGUACUCAAAUUUGUCUUGGCAACUCUGUUUCAUGUACAUUCACAAAUUGAAAAUCUUCACAUGUGCUCAUGCAUUGCAUAUCAUGAAAGGUGUACUUUGUUCUGAUGAAAUAAAGCUUAAGAUCUCU
rnacentral:sRNA from 1 species